rnacentral:rRNA from 1 species
UACGUAGGGCGCGAGCGUGUCCGGAUUUAUUUGGGCGUAAAGAGCUCGUAGGCGGCUUGUCGCGUCGACUGUGAAAACUCGGGGCUCAACUCCGAGCUUGCGGUCGAUACGGGCAGACUUGAGUUCGGCAGGGGAGACUGGAAUUCCUGGUGUAGCGGUGAAAUGCGCAGAUAUCAGGAGGAACACCGGUGGCGAAGGCGGGUCUCUGGGCCGAUACUGACGCUGAGGAGCGAAAGCGUGGGGAGCGAACAGG